UACAGAGGGGGCAAGCGUUGUCCGGAAUUACUGGGCGUAAAGGGCGCGUAGGCGGCCUGUUAAGUCGAACGUGAAAUCCCCGGGCUCAACCCGGGAACUGCGUCCGAUACUGGCAGGCUUGAAUUCGGGAGAGGGAUGCGGAAUUCCAGGUGUAGCGGUGAAAUGCGUAGAUAUCUGGAGGAACACCGGUGGCGAAGGCGGCAUCCUGGACCGAGAUUGACGCUGAGGCGCGAAAGCGUGGGGAGCAAACAGG
rnacentral:rRNA from 1 species